GUUUGGAGGUCUGGGUAAUGUAUGGGGCCUCUGGUAGUAGAUCAGUAUUCUUAGUAUAUGAAUGGACUUUGGGAGCCCUCUCCACAUAGAGGGAUACUCUUUCAGCCUAGUCACACAAAGAAGUGUCUAGGCACUUCUCUAAAUAAUAUGACAGAUUUUGAAGAUCCCCCAUGCAAAGGCUAGCCCUCCCUGGGUAGCAGAACAGGUUGUUUCUAAUAAAAAAUACUCAAAGAAAGAGUGAUUAUAAAGUAGAAAAAUAAAAAAAAAUUGGGUGAGUUGUAGUAUCUGCAACAUUUGUUGCUUUACUUCAAAUGACAGAAAGAUUUCGAUCUUUUGAUAAUUGCUAUCGACACUAAAGUUACCAUGAAACUCAAGCUGCCAUCAAUAUACUCUUAGUUUCAAAUACAUACUUUCAGUUAAUUAUUUGAUAUCAAGCCCUCUCUUAUUCUUCCUCUACUGUCUGUGACCUUAGGAAACUUGUAUUUCUGCUCAGCAUCAAGUAGUAGGAGAGGAGGGCCUGUGGAAACACACCAAGGUAGCCCCAUCCACCAGAGUGACCCUAGAGGAUAUUUAUCCUCUUUCUUUCAUGACUUCUGUGGCUGCAAAACUUAGAAGCAAUUGUGUUUAAUAAUGCUUCAGAGACUAAUUAGUAAGGUCUCCCAAGCCUGCUCAUGAUAAUCUCAGACUAAAGCACCGGGAAAUGCUUCACCCCAACUUCUGCAAAGGCUUCAUUGAAGACAUGCUCACCAUACCUAGCUUGUGGCCCUGAGGAUGGCCUUCUCUGCUUUCUCUAGAGAAGCUUUCACUGAAGACUCAGACACCACACGUGGCUGAUGGUAUCCUUGAUACAUAUAUGACUGAUUUCUACCUGGGAAUGCCACAUCAGUGACAGAAGUAUCAGCAAGCAGAUGCAGAGGAAACGUGGCUCCUUCAGUGUUUACAGACAAAUGUCACUCAUGAUGAGAUUCAGCUCUGAGAGAUACUUCUGUUAUAAGUUUCUGACCAUUCUGCUUAGUGUGAGGACAACUCAAGUACUACAGCCAUGCUCUCUCUCUGCAUCCUGACAAGCUGACACCAGAGGAAACAACUUCCCUGAGUUAUGGAUGUUGAAAUAUGACCUCAUCAUCCUGCUUAUGAGGAACUCAGACUCAGGCACAGAGGACAUCCUUCUCUGCUUUCUCCUGAGAUGCUUUCACUGAAGACAUAGACACCCCAUCUGUAUGGUGUCUCAGACUCAGGCAUGGAUGAAAUGUUUUUCCCCAACUUCUGUGAAGGCUUCAUUGACGACAUGCUCACUAUAACUACCAUGUGGUAUUGUAAAGUCAUUCUGUUGUGGCAUUUGGUUGGCAGUGCUCACACUGCAGUGAUUAUUUCAUCUAUGUGAUCUGCUCAGUGAAUCUGAAUCUCAAGCAGUAAAGCCAUUCUUGCUCUCUGCAUCCUGAGAACCUAACACUGAAGGAGACCACUUCCCUGAACUUACGGAUGUGGAAACAUGACCUCAUCAUCCUCCUCAUGAGGAACUUAGACUCAGGCACUGAGGACUUCAUUCUCUGCCUUCUCCUGAUAUGCUUUCCCUGAAGACAUAGACACUCCAUCUAUCUGGUGAUCUCACAAGCCCGCUCAUGAUAAUAUCAGACUCAGGCAUCGAUGAAAUGCUUCUUCCCAACUUCUGAGAAGGCUUCAUUGUAGACAUGCUCACCAUAUAUACCUAUUAUUGAGGAACUGAGGACAUCCUUCUCUGACUUCUCCUGAGAAACUUUCGCUGAAGACACAGACACCACACCUAAUGCUUAUAUUGAUAAACACCCUGACUUUUGGAUUGUAUGUGCUGGAAGAGAAGAUGAUGGCUGCUCAGCAAAAACGAAGACUAAGCAAGCGGGCAAGUCGUUGAUUGAUUUGACCGUGAUGCAAUUCACAACUUUUCUGCUUCAGAUGGCAGAGCUUGACCAAGUCUCUUUCAGAAGUGGAAGAAGGGUUGCACCUUUUAAAUCAUGUCCAGAUAUUUCAGUUGCCAGUGGCUCUGACACCGGGUGCAUUGAGACAGGAGGUGGAAACUUUGAGUACUUCAAUUUUGGAAUGUGUACCAUGACUUCUGAUAUAUAUGAGAUGGAACUAUGGUUGUGGCUGCUCCAGGUCACCUCUAAUACUACCCAGUAAGAAGCCUAUUCGGGAAUCUACAGCUGUGUCAUAAUUGAAGGUGGUAAAUAAGCUCCCUUUAGGAAUCCAUCAGAAAGCUCAACAAACAUGCUUUUUGGAGUGAACCUGCAGAGAAAAGGCAGCUUGCAUGAAGCAGCACUCCACUGAAACAAUAUUAUUUUGUGAUAAAGUGCUUCAGGAAAACAUUCAAGCCUCAUUAGAACUUCACAGAGAACAUCAAUUAUAAAGCAACAUAGGUGAAGACCAUUAAGCCUAUCCUUGAUGAGGGGAAUUGUGCUUCCAGAUUAAAAUAUUUGACCCUGUGUUCUAUGAAAAGAUACGCUGCGAAGAGGCUGAUUUGCACAGCCUGGGCCUUCAACAGAAGCAAGGUGUUUGCUUAAAAGGAUCCACUCAGUUCUUUAUACGUUCUAGAAUAUCCUCCAAGUUAUAAUAUCACUUCUUAUAUCCUUGUCUAAUUCUCCAUCUGAGGACCCUGAUGUUCAGGUCACAAGCUUGUUCAUGAGAGUGUCAGACUCAGUCAUGGAAGAGAGAUGGUUACACCCAACUGCUUAGGGUUUUUACUUUUCAGCAAUUAUUUUCUUGUAUGUAACACUGAAUUAUAUAUUUAUAUUUUAUGUGUUAGCAUGUGUGGUGGCCAUAUUUUCAAAUCCUUAUGUUAUGUGUACAUCUUACUAUUUUUAGAUGCCACAGGAUAUUCUUUUCAUCUAGAUGUAGUUUAUGAUUUUUAACCAUACAAACACCACCUGUUCAUUUUCUCCAGUAGUUUCUCUGAGGACAGUAUCCAGUGAAUGCGCUGUGAAAUGGCAUACAAUUGAAUCUUUUUCUUUUUAUCUUUUGGGAAAAUGCUGAAAGUUUAGGACUCUAGGUAUUUUCUUCCACUUAAAUUCAUGAAAUUACAGUUCUACCCUUGACCCAAAUUGUUGAGUCUUUUUUUCUUCUCAGAUUAAUCUUUCCUUUUUUUGAAGUUACCAUGAAUUUUUAUUCGUUAGUUCAUUACUAAAAGAGUUAAUGUGUUUGGUUAAUUACAAUGCAUUUCAUUAUGAAGCAUGAAAUAGUCAUGUCAUACAUACUUCAUGGAACACAGUUUUCCACCAUGCUUACUCACAUGUAUGGAAGCCCAGUAUUUCUUCUGUAAGUCUGGGAUUUUUUGCUCCCUUUUAUAUUAUUGAACAGUGUGUCAUACAGUAAGUCUGAAAAGAGUUGGGAAGGAAAAAUGUCCUCUUACACAUAAAGUUUCAAGAUACUGAGAGUCAAAUCCUCCGUAGCAUAUUUUUACAAAUGUAGUUUUGUUGGAAUGCAUCCCUAGUCACUAACUCACGGUGUGUUUGUGAGACUUUUCAUUACUGUGACCAGUGAUUCAAAGGAACAUUUCUCUUAGCUUGAGACUGCAGAGGGUGCAGCUGGCUUGCUGCAUUGUUUCCCAGUCUCUGUUAAAACAGUGUUUCAUUAUGGCAAGACAUUAAAAAUCACAGAAGUUCACUUCAAGACAACCAGGAAGCAGAGGAGAGUGACCAGAAUGGAUCAGAUCCAAGAUGUACCCUCCACAGUCCCACAAGCUUGCUCAUGAAAAUCUCACACUCAGGCAUGGAUGAAAUGCUUCUCCCCAACAACUGAGAAAGCUUCAUUGAAGACAAGCUCAACAUACAUUCCCUGUGGACAAAGGAAUGGCUCAUAAUGCAACCUGAAUGUCCACUUCAUCCAAUCUGUUCAUUACUUAUAUGUCGCAAAGAGGAUGAUUUGCACAGCCUGGGCCUAAACAGAAGAAAGGUAUGAUGGAAGGAGAGGUGACACCUGCUACUACAGUUGAAAGGUCAACAUGUAAGGACCCUGAUGUUGAGUCUCUCAAGCCUGUUCAAGAUAUUCUCAGAUUCAGGCAUGGAAGGUUCUCCCCAAAUCCUGAGAAGUUCUCACUGAAGAUACAGUCACCACACCUACUUUGUUGUAUUGUAAAGGAUAAGUUGGUAUUUAUCAUUUUCCAUAAUUAGUCUCUUGAAUGGGAAACUCCAUUAAAUAUUUAUAUUUCAUGUAUUA